UACAUUUAAUUGCUAUGUACAAAAAUGCCCAUGAAAUUAUAUGUGAAAUUACCAAAAUACCCUUUUAGUGUAUUAUUAGUUAUAUUAUUUAUGGAAUUUUAAAAUCUAAAGUGAUAAACCCUAAUGGUUAUGGAUAAUGUCUAUAAUGCCCUUCAUGGUAGACAUGAGAAGUCUAAACUACCCUUGUGCAUUAUUAAAGGAAGAAACCAAUUAUUAGAGUGGAAAUGACUAAAAUGCCCUUUUUGUCCAUUUAGUGUAUUAUUAGUGUAUUAUUGGAGGAAUCUAGCAACAAAUCAUGGCCAACAUCACUACCCUACCAAUUGAGCAUCCAAGACUCAAUUAUGCUCAGAUUCAAUCAACCAAUCUAGCAUCCAAGGCAUUUGAAUUAUUCUAUAAAUAGAUUGGAGAGAGUUAGCAUUUUUUGUACACUAAAAUUCAUCCAACUCUCAUCCUUAAGCUUCUCUCUCUAAAACCUACGAAUUAUUGUAGCAUAUCAGUCCCUAAACAAAGCCCAACCAUCACAAACAACAAAUCAGAAGCAUCAAGAAGCCAGAAAUCAAAAAUCAAGCUUGAAAAGGUAGGAAAUCCUAAAUUCUAGAAAUCCUUCGAUUCGAUGUUAAUUGAUGCAAUUGAUUGUUUAAAGUAGUGUAAUAGAGAGUCUAUUAAUGUUCUGGGUUGUAAAAUCAUGAACCCAUAACAUCAAAGUGCACGAAUUUGAAGAUUUAAACAAGUUGGAAAAACCGAAUUCUGUUAUUUUUCACCAAAUGUCAGAGGCUAUAACUCUUUGGUCGAUCACGAGUUUUGUUGUUUAAAAGUUGUUAUAGGUAGCCUGAUAUGUGGUCUUUAAUCUCCAAAAGGAAUAAAGUUCAUAGCUAUUGUAGAUCGGGAUUUAUAAGCGGUCAAAGUGGGUUGACCGGCAUUGACCGGCUGUUCUUCAAACCCAGAAAAUAUUCUAAGUGUCCAGAAAAUAUUAUUUUGGAAAAUGUCAGGCCUUAUAUCUCGGUUAUCUUUAAUGUGUUUUGUGUUCUAAAGGUUGAUAUGUGUAUCUUGUUAUGUGGUAUUUAAC
rnacentral:lncRNA from 1 species